GACGUAGGUGGCGAGCGUUAUCCGGAUUUACUGGGCGUAAGGCGUGUGCAGGCGGGCUGUCAAGUGGUGUAUGAAAUCGCUCGGCUUAACCGGGCGCGGUUAUGCCAGACUGACAGUCUGGAGUGCGGGAGAGGGGCGUGGAAUUCCGGGUGUAGUGGUGAAAUGCGUAGAGAUCCGGAGGAACCCCAGAGGCGAAGGCGGCGCCCUGGCCCGACACUGACGCUCAGACACGACAGCAUGGGGAGCGAACGGG
rnacentral:rRNA from 1 species